ACACGGUCCAAACUCCUACGGGAGGCAGCAGUGAGGAAUAUUGGUCAAUGGACGAGAGUCUGAACCAGCCAAGUAGCGUGAAGGAUGACUGCCCUAUGGGUUGUAAACUUCUUUUAUACGGGAAUAAAGUGAGCCACGUGUGGCUUUUUGUAUGUACCGUAUGAAUAAGGAUCGGCUAACUCCGUGCCAGCAGCCGCGGUAAUACGGAGGAUCCGAGCGUUAUCCGGAUUUAUUGGGUUUAAAGGGAGCGUAGGCGGGUUGUUAAGUCAGUUGUGAAAGUUUGCGGCUCAACCGUAAAAUUGCAGUUGAUACUGGCGACCUUGAGUGCAACAGAGGUAGGCGGAAUUCGUGGUGUAGCGGUGAAAUGCUUAGAUAUCACGAAGAACUCCGAUUGCGAAGGCAGCUUACUGGAUUGUAACUGACGCUGAUGCUCGAAAGUGUGGGUAUCAAACAGGAUUAGAUACCCUGGUAGUCCACACAGUAAACGAUGAAUACUCGCUGUUGGCGAUAUACAGUCAAGCGGCCAAGCGAAAGCAUUAAGUAUUCCACCUGGGGAGUAC
rnacentral:rRNA from 1 species